CUACGGGGCGCUGCAGUAAGGAAUAUUGGGCAAUGGACGCAAGUCUGACCCAGCCAUGCCGCGUGCAGGAUGACAGCCCUACGGGUUGUAAACUGCUUUUGUACGGGAAAAAUUCCCUGGUCGUGAACCGGGGUUGAUGGUACCGUAAGAAUAAGCAUCGGCUAACUCCGUGCCAGCAGCCGCGGUAAUACGGAGGAUGCAAGCGUUAUCCGGAUUCAUUGGGUUUAAAGGGUGCGCAGGCGGAAUGAUAAGUCAGUGGUGAAAUCCUACAGCUCAACUAUAGAACUGCCAUUGAUACUGUUGUUCUUGAGUACAUUUGUAGUGGGCGGAAUGUGUCAUGUAGCGGUGAAAUGCGUAGAGAUGACACAGAACACCGAUCGCGAAGGCAGCUCACUAAACUGUAACUGACGCUCAGGCACGAAAGCGUGGGGAUCAAACAGGAUUAGAUACCCGAGUAGUC
rnacentral:rRNA from 1 species